GGGGGGGGGGAUAAUUUGUGUGGUACCCUAUUUUCGCUUAACUAAACUAUAAAAGGAUCUGGUUCUUCUAUGUGUUCUAACUAAUAUUGUUUGCGGAAUAAGAAGUAAAGAAAAUAAAGAACAUGGAGAUUUUUAUGUGAAAAAUACAUGGCUCAAAAGGUGGAAAAAAUACGACAUAUUACUCAGUACGAUUUUCCCAAACUUCCACUAAAAUCACAGAGCCAAAACAUCAUUUACAAAACUCUUUGUAAACCUAAAGAUUAAAUCUAAUCCCAUUGUGGCACACAACCUCGACUGUUGCGACAACUGCAACUUAACUCUAACUUGAACCCUCUAGGCACCUAAUACAAUUGCUUAUAUAAAAGCUGAAAUGUACAAUGUAAAAUCACCUACUACAAUUGAACUAGAAUAAAAGAUAGAUACUUGGAAUUGGUUCUUCUAUCUUAUUCAAGUAGCUUCAGGAUUGCACGCUUGAAUCACACAUAAAUUGCUUGCGAAAUCACCUUGCUCUUUUGCUCUCAAUUUAAGUUUAACUUCUCCUUAUGUGCAUUACCUGUAAAAGAGGACAACACUGAUAUUUAAUGGGUCAGUAAUUAGAGAUUGACUGGGAUACAGUUGCUACUUUUCUAUCGUAUAAAAGUUCUAGUCGAUCUCAUACUCUAACACCAUCUUCUUCAUAAACUGUAUUCUCUACAUGUAACGAGUCUUUCUCACCUUAUCCAAUAUGCAACCUUUUCGUGCAUCUCACAUGUUUGGGUUGAUCAUGAUUGUGCUUCACAAGAUGGACCUGGUCCAUGUUUGAGUUCUUUUGUCAGUCUUCAAAACUUCACCUUUACUUGGACCAACAUUUUCAAAAUAAAGAUAAUUCAACUUGAAGCUUUUAAAUCCUUAAAAAUUCUCAACUUAGUUCCAUUUGAUACAAUUAACAAAUAUAAUCAAGUAAUGGUGUACAGAAACCAUGGUGAAAACCUAAAACUACCCGGACAUAAAUAGGAAUAUUAGCUACGUACGAACUCUCGUCACCUCUUACGUACGUAGCCUCCACAAAUUGAAGCACAUAUUGAAUUAUUUCACCUAUGGGGUAAAUUUCCUCUUACAAGGUUAGAAAAGAGACUUACCUCGCUCCGAAAUUUCAUAACCGGAUCCAUUGCCACUCGAACUUCUCAAAAAAUGUCCAACGCUCCAAAACAAGUCAAUAAUUGUGCAAACCCAUGAAUAUUUGCUCAUUAUAAUCUAAUUUAUAACAAUUUUUAGCCCCAAUCGAGGAGUCAAUAAAAUCACCCUCGGGCCCCAUAUGCCCAAAUUCUGAAAAUAUUUGAUAUAAACUUUAUCCAUAACACCACGGACUCAAAUAUGUAGGCCAAGAUUUAUGUCCAAAACCGUGGUCAAAAUCUAAAAAUACAAAAUUCUAGAUUUUUCCAUCAAAACCUCAAAUUUCUACUAAUUUUC
rnacentral:lncRNA from 1 species